UAGAUAUCAAAUCUUUAAGGUUUUAUUGAGAGGGGCAAGGACUCUGUCCUUGAUGCUAAAAAGAAGGAUUGAGUCCUUGCCCUCAUCACCUAA
rnacentral:antisense_RNA from 1 species